CCUCAGGGAAAAAAAGAACUAUUGGCUUUUUUUAAGAAAAAACUAAUGAAAAUUUUUAAUUGAGUUUAAACUUAAAAGUAGCUAUCCAUUUAAGUUUUAAGUAAAAAAAUUUUUUCUCAUUUGAAAUAUAACUUAAAUGUAACUACCUAAAAUAGGAUGAAAUUAUCCAAUUAUCCUUAUAAUUUUAAAGUAACACUACACUAUUAUAAAGU
rnacentral:lncRNA from 1 species